AUUUUAUACUCUUUGCUGUCAGUCGUAGUUAGUGUCAGUGUCAGCUUCGGUAGUCGACUAAAAUUUACAAUAUCAAUGUCUAGCUGGGUGAAUUCUUUGUUUCAAUAUUUAAUUAUCAAGUAUUUAAAAGAAAUUCAACAAAUUUUCUUAAGUGGUGUUAAACUUGUAUAAGAAGUAAAUGUUAGAACAUCAGUGCGACACCGAUAUGAUGAUGACUGAUAGUAUUCUCCGAGUGCAAGAAAGCAAUGCAACAUCCCCGAGAGAGAUGCAGAGUGAAGAGGCGCGCGCGCUGCACGAGCGGCUCGUGGCGUACGCGCACUUCGUGGCCGGAGACCCGGAGAGCCGGUCGGGCGUGUGCAGCGAGCACUCGUACGCGCGAGUGCACGAGGCGGGCGGAGCGGGCGCGGG